AUGGUGCAUCUUGGGAAGAGAAACUCAAAUUAGCUACCAAAAGGACAUAAAGACGAAGCUAGGACUUGAACCCAUGGCUACUAAAUCCUGUAAGUAGGAUACAGUGGUGCCUUAAUCUGAGCUUGAAAUGAUCUGAAAUCUCCCUUCAACAUCAGAUCAGGCUGCAGAACAUCUCUUUACAAAUAAUCCACCAGAAAGUCAAAUUUAGAACAUUCCAGCUUGAAUGGAUAAACUGCUCCCAGGUAAGAGUGUGAUACUACAAAUUAAGAAAUGACAGAAGAAAAUGGGAAUGCUUUUCCAGGAAGAGAGGUGGAAUAUAAUCAGAUUUGCAUGUAGACAAAUUCCUUUUUAAAUAAAAUACCAGAAGUGGUGACAGGCUGAAAAAGUCAUGUAUGGAGAAGGGAUCAUACUGUAGUAAACUGCAGAUCCAUAUCUAUUGUGGCAAAGAUGCUGUGAGCCAUCUGGAGGGUCCUGCCUACAUGUCCCUUGUAGUGGCAAGUUGUCAGUGGCUGAAGAUUCACCAAAACUGAGAUGUGAAAUGAAUGGAAGAACAAAUCCCACCUUGAAUGGAA